GACGAACGCUGGCGGCGUGCCUAAUACAUGCAAGUCGAGCGCAGGAAAUCGACGGAACCCUUCGGGGGGAAGUCGACGGAAUGAGCGGCGGACGGGUGAGUAACACGUAAAGAACCUGCCCUCAGGUCUGGGAUAACCACGAGAAAUCGGGGCUAAUACCGGAUGGGUCAUCGGACCGCAUGGUCCGAGGAUGAAAGGCGCUUCGGCGUCGCCUGGGGAUGGCUUUGCGGUGCAUUAGCUAGUUGGUGGGGUAAUGGCCCACGAAGGCGACGAUGCAAAGCCGACCUGAGAGGGUGAUCGGCCACACGGGGACUGAGCACCGGCCCAGACUCCUACGGGAGGCAGCAGUAGGGAAUCUUCCACAAUGGACGAAAGUCUGAUGGAGCAACGCCGCGUGAACGAUGAAGGCCUUCGGGUCGUAAAAUUCUGUUGUAAGGGAAGAACAAGUGCCGCAGGCAAUGGCGGCACCUUGACGGUACCUUGCGAGAAAGCCACGGCUAACUACGUGCCAGCCGCCGCAGUAACAC
rnacentral:rRNA from 1 species